ensembl:lncRNA
UGCGAUGAGCACAAGGCGACAGUACUGCUUUCUUGAUGACAGCUACCAGUGCAUGGAAAUGCUGUGAUCGGAUUACCAAAAAUUAGUGGAGGACUGAUAACAGAAUCAAGGACAGAGUGGCAUGAGGAUUCAGAGCUGCCAGCUGAGGGAUCUCCACAUCUACUGCAGAGAAGCAAAAACUAUUGGAGUUUGGAUUUUCCUGCUGUAAGUAUGGAUAUGUAAACCAAGUAUGGAUAUGUAAACCAAUAAGCAACUCUGUACAUUCCAAUGUCAGGGCAACAAUGACUCCUUUCGUGUGCUGGCUGCGAUGACGAAGUGCCAGCUGAGGCCAGAGACAGCYGGGCUCUGGAGAACUACAGGGGAUCCGGAAGAAGCGAUUACAAGCAGUAGGUUUUCCUGGAAGUUUUGUGUGAGGAGAGAAGG